ACAAACAAACAAAAAACCAAUGGGAGGCAUCAGAGAAAAUCUGAUUAGAUUUCUAUUCUCUGAGCUACACUCUUCUUGUCUAAUUUUCUCCUUCUUUCCCUGUCUCCCUCCCCAAGUGCCUCUAACUUUCUUCUUUUUUAGCUCCCCCUCUCCAGUUUUUUUUGCUCUCCAUCAGAAAAAUCUCAUUCCUGCAGAUGGUAUUCCACUAUGCUGGGCUCUCUGGAAGCAAUCAAGGAAAUCUCAAACUCACGUGCUAUUUGCAUCCACAAGAUCAACACUGGUACUACAGAUCAAGGGUAACUGGGCUGCUGAACCUGUUACAUGGAUGUGGCCAGCUGGACAUGAGUAACUUCCUGGGCCACACUGGAUCGUGAGGGAAACAUCCGAAAACAGAGCUGAUGUGAAGCUGCGUUGCCCGCAAGAGAAGCCACAAAGUCCACGGCAAUGGUUCACCCCACUCACGGGGCAGCAAAGCUCUACCCCAGGCAUGACAGACUGAGAAUACUGGGCCCCUGUUGCCCUCACCCCAGCUCCCUCAUUGAGUGGUGCUUCCAUGCUGGGAAAGGUAAGUCGGGACCAGAGGCCGCUGCUCCCA